CCUACGGGUGGCUGCAGUAAGGAAUAUUGGACAAUGGACGAAAGUCUGAUCCAGCCAUGCCGCGUGAAGGAUUAAGGUCCUCUGGAUUGUAAACUUCUUUUAUAUGGGACGAAAAAAGGGCAUUCUUGCUCACUUGACAGUACCAUAUGAAUAAGCACCGGCUAACUCCGUGCCAGCAGCCGCGGUAAUACGGAGGGUGCAGGCGUUAUCCGGAUUCACUGGGUUGAAGGUGGGCGUAGAUGUCAGAGGUGAAAUCUCGGAGCUUAACUCCGAAACUGCCUUUGAUACUAUUUGUCUUGAAUAUUGUGGAGGUUUGCGGAAUAUGUCAUGUAGCGGUGAAAUGCUUAGAUAUGACAUGGAACACCUAUUGCGAAGGCAGCAGGCUACACAUAUAUUGACACUGAGGCACGAAAGCGUGGGGAUCAAACAGGAUUAGAUACCCGGGUAGUC
rnacentral:rRNA from 1 species